rnacentral:rRNA from 1 species
UACAUGGGGUGCAAACGUUGCUCGGAAUUAUUGGGCGUAAAGCGCACGUAGGCGGUUUGUUAUGUCGGAUGUGAAAGCCCUUGGCUCAACUGAGGAAGUGCAUCCGAAACUGGCAAGCUAGAGUAUGUAAGAGGGUCGCGGAAUUCCCGGUGUAGAGGUGAAAUUCGUAGAUAUCGGGAGGAACACCGGUGGCGAAGGCGGCGACCUGGGACAAUACUGACGCUGAGGUGCGAAAGCGUGGGGAGCAAACAGG